ensembl:lncRNA
CUUACAGCAUCUGAGAAGCACACUCCUUCUGCAAGGUGUUAUAGCCUGAUCACUACAGAAACAUAGGGAAGGAACUUUGGGGGUGCAUAGGGCACUGGAGCUUCAGAAAACAAAGUUCUGAUGGUCUUAGGGGCUUAGAGUCUCUUGCUUGUUUGCUCCUCUACCAGGUGAAGGGAGAGCGCUGGGCCUUCAAGGAGGACCCAGGUGCCCUAAUUUAGGGAACUUAAAGACCUUGCUAUGCACAGAGACUGGGGUGACAUUUAGGCCAUCAGAGCUUAGCUGUUGGAGGCAGGGAGCACCUCUGCUUCUGACUAAUAGGUCCUAGCAGAGAAGGAGGCGUUGAGCAACCUUAGUCCCUGAAGGCUACAGAGGCACGGCAGAGCUGCUGGGUAUGCCAGAGGUAUGGCUCAUCCUCUUGUCUCUCCUGUAUUUAUCCCUCUGGCUCUGACAACCUAAACUCCUCACUUUAUUUUUCUUGGGAUUUUCUUUGGAUGAACCCUAUUAAAUGCAAUGCUAGCGUUGAAAUUUGCCUACGCCAAUAAGGCCAUCUGUUUUAUUAACUGAAGAAGGUCUCUGGAGUAUUUCUUGCAGGCUUGCAGCCCUUUCUGCCGCCCCCAGCACUUUACAUCAGCCCUGCGAACAAUGGGAGGGGACCCAGGAGGUCGCUGGCAGGAAGCACCUCUUCCCGUGCAUAAUGAACUGGCUGGGAGACUGAGGGAUGGAGAUAGCACACGAGACACACAGCACAAACUGCUGAAACAAUAAACAAACAAACGGAUGGCCAGCACUUCCUCUUCUUAUAUUGUUAACUUUGCUUCCUAAACCCACCCCUCAAAAGCCAGCCUUCUAGGCUCGCUGAUGCUUAACCUCUUUGUUGCCAGAGAUGGCUGAAGGCCCCAGCCAUUGCUUGCCAAUGUGAUAACAGCUGCAAGAGCCUUCCGAGAAAUAUAACAGCACUUUUACAAAAAAAUUGAAUGUAGGGAGAAAUAAUGUGGCCAUAAGGCUCUAUGGGUGUAGUGCCUUGGUACCAGGACCGUGCCCCAGGUGGGUACAGACAUUCAGACUCUUUGGGCAGGAUGUCAUUUCACCGUUUCUUAUCUGUUAGCAGGAGAAUUAUGACAGCAGAAACUGAGUGGUGGCAAAGCUAUCUCCAUCCAUGUAGACUCUGAAGAAAAAUGCCUGCUUGAAAAGCAGUUGGGGAUGGUCUUUGGUUCGGUGCAUGCAAGUAUUUCAUCCCAUGGCAGCUGGAGUUCAUGGCCCACAGGAGCUCCGGGUGCAGCAGCGAGAUAGUGGCCCUGCACCUGCCACAGCCUGGCACCGGUUGGUCAGGGGAUCCUACUCCAUGUCACCCUUCAUAGAAUGCUGCCAGGAAGCGGUAAAAGACUAUUUGGGAGAACCAGGCUGGUGCUUCUGGAGCUGAGAAGCCACUUUUCAGAAGGCGUGCUGAUACUUCUCCCCAUCAGCCCCUAAGGUCCAGAGCUAGUUGAGGGGUGGCCUGGAGGCGUCAUGACCCUCCCUGGGACUCUCCCAGCAGCAGGGCAAGGGCUGUCACAGGACAGGCCCUACCUUCUGCUGAGUGCUCCCAGCUGACAGCUGAUUUGUUAUUACUUUAAAUACCCACUGUUUGUGUUAAGCACAGCAAGAAGUCUAGUAAACCGAAAUGGUGACAUUUAAAAAUGAAGUAUCUCAAAUAGAUGUUUAGUCCUUCAAAUAGGGAAGCUAUCUGCUAAAUACCAAGUUUAACAGUUAUGUAAUAAGUCCAUAUCAAAACACAGAUAAUGACUGGUUGGCUAUGGUUUAGCAGUUGUUAUUUAAUUAACCUAUAAAGGCUUUCCUACUUAAUCAAAAUUUUAUUUCUGUCCCAAAGACUAUUUAGGGUGUAGUUCUGGAAGUGUUAUCGGUGUUGCUUUAAGUACUGAGGCACUGGUGCAAAGAAAUUACCCAAGGCUACAAGUGGAUGGCUGUGGGCAUGGGAGUGCCACUCCGGACACAUCAAGCCAAGUCACGGGCUGCUGGAGGUAAAGGGACCUCUGGAGGCCACUUGGUCCACUCCCUGCUCAGGCCAGCCAGAACAGGUUGUCCAGGACCGUAUCCAGGUCAGGGCCUCCGUUCUCUUUUCAGUCAUGGCUUACUCUAGAGGAGCUACACCAGCUGUCCUCCUUCCUGUCACCUUCCCUGAAGUCCUCCCUGGUAACUCAUCCUCCAACUUUAGUUACAAAAUGUGCAGCCUCAGGUAAGGAGCAACUGUCCCAGGCAGUGCAUGCCUUAGGCCAGCUCCAGCACUCUUGCUGUCCAUCCCUGAGCCCCAAAGCACAGCUCAGCUUUCGCAUAUUGAUCGUCAGUCAGUUUUUUAAAAGAAUGAACCUCAAAGGCAACAAUACCUUGGCUCAGGCUCUGAGCCCCCAAGAGGGAAGAGAGCUGGGUGGCAGCACAGGGGAUGGCAGGUCCUGUGGCUCUUCCUGGCUGUGCUCCCCUGUGUGGGUUUGGAUGAGUGGAUGAGAGCAGGUCCUUGGAGCACAGCUUGCUUGGCCCUUUGUGGGGAGAUCAGCCUCCUCCCAUAGAGAAAUGGCAGAUUCUCAUGCCUGGUGUGUUUUGACACAUUUUGAGGCCCAGUGGUCUUAAAGCUUUUUCUUUUCUACAGCUAAUAUCACCCCACAUCACAGUAUGUGUCUUCACAGUGUGAGUCAAGUGAAAAUAAGAUGGAUUUGCACAUCCAGCCUUCAGCAAGAAGGAAGAAAUGUGGAGUGAAUUCUUCCUGAGCACAAGUGCUUGGAUUUCAAGGGACUUCCAACCAACCUCCAGUCUCACUUGUGAUGCAGCUCUUCAGCAGUCUGCAAAGAGAUGAUGUGUUCAACCCACUGCUGAAGCCCAAGAAGGAAGAGUAGUGCUGUGGCAACAGCUUCAAAAGGUGCUGCCAAAGUUCCCGUUAAAGCCAGCUAUAGUUUUGCCUGAAUAAGGACCAGAGGACCUAGCCAGAUCUUGUAGGAUAAAAGGUUUGUCUACUCUUUAAACUCUGGAUAAGCAUCUGAACUCUCUGCCACAUUCCUAAAUUAGAUCAUCCCCAGUGUGAGCCCUGCUUCAGGAGAAACCCUGCCAAGCCAUGCUGAUGGGCUUCCUCAGGGCCUGUGGGGCACAGGGCUGUGCUGAGCUCCGUGGCCAGGCGGGCCUGGAGACACUGCCAUCUUGCAGCUGAGGGACAGUAGAAAGACAGAGGCAGGUGGAGAGGGCGAACUGCACAGCAUGUCUGAGGCCUGUGUUUGAGCACAUUGGCCUGGAUUUGCUGUGGGUGACUUGGACCACUGGCACUGGUAUCUUCUCCGGGCAACAUGUUGUACAAUGCAG